GGCCUGUAAAACUAGAGCACGUGUGUUUGCUUGUUUAAUUCGGGGGCUCUGCAAUGCUCAGACCAAAUUCCUGUAACCACGAAACCUGACACUUGCGAUCCAGAUGUAGGUUACAGGGAUGAUGCUACUAACAGUAAAAGUUGAGUCAUAUGGUUUCACGGAUAAGUCCUAAGGAUCAACCAGGAAGUUGCUUUAUCUGGCCACCCUCCACCAAUGCACAGCUUGACCAAUGGCACAACCUACAAGCUGAUUUCAAGGUCACUGCAAGCACCACUCGUUAGCUGGAGGAGCUGGAGGCACCGUGCACUUUCACUGCUGGGGAAGGGCUUGCUGUGCAUGUGUCCCCCUGCCCUGCUCCGUGGACAGUGGCUGACCCCACCCAGGAGCCAAAGUGAUGGAGAAGUUCAAGAAAACCUUGGCCACCAGUGCCCAAAGAAUGUGGAUCGGCCCAGCAUUUUGUUCCACCCCAGAACCAGGCUUCUGGUAUUGAAGAGUGAUAUCCUUCUGUUGGAAGCAGUUCAGUUUCUAUUUAUGGGAGGCAGUGUUCUCAAAGUGUAG
rnacentral:lncRNA from 1 species